CCUCACUUCGAAACCAAAAACGGUUCCCCUCACAUCGAAACCAAAGUCCUUGGUUGUUCAAUGAACAGUAAAGAAUAUAAGGAUAUGCUAAUCUCAUUCAACAAAAACAUUAGAACACACCAAAGAUACAGCUAUUCCAAACUCCACGCAUAUCACACGCCAUAAUCUAAAUAACACACACACACAAACUAAGGGGGUGUUUGGGAAACACCUGUUAAAGUUUAACACCUGUCACAUCGGAUGUUUGGAUGCUAAUUAGGAGUACUAAACAUAAGCUAAUUACAAAACUAAUUGCACAGAUGGAGUAUAAUUCGCGAGACGAAUCUAUUAAGCCUAAUUAGUCCAUGAUUUGACAAUGUGGUGCUACAGUAACCAUUUGCUAAUGAUGGAUUAAUUAGGCUUAAUAGAUUCGUCUCGCGAAUUAGCACAAGGUUCUGCAAUUAGUUUUAUAAUUAGCUCAUGUUUAGUCCUCCUAAUUAGCAUCCAAACAUCCGAUGUGACACUGUUAAAGUUUAGCACCUCGUAUCCAAACAGCCCCUAAGCAACGAAACGUGCACACGUUGAUCUCGUCGAAGACCUCUCCGGUUCACGGGGCUAGAAGAAGCAUGAACCCGCC
rnacentral:lncRNA from 1 species